rnacentral:tRNA from 1 species
GGGAAUGUAGAUUGUACGGUAAAACGCCUGCUUUGCAUGCGGGAGGUACGGGGUUCGAUACCCCACAUCUCCA